rnacentral:rRNA from 1 species
GGCCUCCCUCGGAAGAAAAAAAGGUUGAGUGGCGGACGGGUGAGUAAUGUCUGGGAAACUGCCUGAUGGAGGGGGAUAACUACUGGAAACGGUAGCUAAUACCGCAUAACGUCGCAAGACCAAAGAGGGGGACCUUCGGGCCUCUUGCCAUCGGAUGUGCCCAGAUGGGAUUAGCUAGUAGGUGGGGUAACGGCUCACCUAGGCGACGAUCCCUAGCUGGUCUGAGAGGAUGACCAGCCACACUGGAACUGAGACACGGUCCAGACUCCUACGGGAGGCAGCAGUGGGGAAUAUUGCACAAUGGGCGCAAGCCUGAUGCAGCCAUGCCGCGUGUAUGAAGAAGGCCUUCGGGUUGUAAAGUACUUUCAGCGGGGAGGAAGGGAGUAAAGUUAAUACCUUUGCUCAUUGACGUUACCCGCAGAAGAAGCACCGGCUAACUCCGUGCCAGCAGCCGCGGUAAUACGGAGGGUGCAAGCGUUAAUCGGAAUUACUGGGCGUAAAGCGCACGCAGGCGGUUUGUUAAGUCAGAUGUGAAAUCCCCGGGCUCAACCUGGGAACUGCAUCUGAUACUGGCAAGCUUGAGUCUCGUAGAGGGGGGUAGAAUUCCAGGUGUAGCGGUGAAAUGCGUAGAGAUCUGGAGGAGGUACCGGUGGGGAAGGCGGGCCCCAUGGACGAAGACUGUACGCUCAGGUGCGAAAGCGUGGGUGA